GAUACCAUUUAGCUUGCUAGAUGGGAAAGUGGCGCACGGGUGCGUAACGCGUAUGCAACCUACCUUAAUCAGGGGGAUAGCCCGAAGAAAUUCGGAUUAACACCGCAUAAAAUCACAGUACAGCAUUGUACAAUGAUCAAAUAUUUAUAGGAUUAAGAUGGGCAUGCGUGUCAUUAGUUAGUUGGCGAGGUAACGGCUCACCAAGACCACGAUGACUAGGGGAUCUGAGAGGAUGACCCCCCACACUGGUACUGAGACACGGACCAGACUCCUACGGGAGGCAGCAGUAAGGAAUAUUGGUCAAUGGAGGCAACUCUGAACCAGCCAUGCCGCGUGCAGGAAGACAGCCCUCUGGGUCGUAAACUGCUUUUAUUCGGGAAUAAACCUACUUACGUGUAAGUAGCUGAAUGUACCGAAGGAAUAAGGAUCGGCUAACUCCGUGCCAGCAGCCGCGGUAAUACGGAGGAUCCAAGCGUUAUCCGGAUUUAUUGGGUUUAAAGGGUGCGUAGGCGGCUUAUUAAGUCAGGGGUGAAAGACGGUGGCUCAACCAUCGCAGUGCCCUUGAUACUGAUGAGCUUGAAUACACUAGAGGUAGGCGGAAUGUGACAAGUAGCGGUGAAAUGCAUAGAUAUGUCACAGAACACCGAUUGCGAAGGCAGCUUACUAUGGUGUCAUUGACGCUGAGGCACGAAAGCGUGGGGAUCAAACAGGAUUAGAUACCCUGGUAGUCCACGCCCUAAACGAUGAAUACUCGCUGUUAGCGAUACACAGUUAGCGGCUAAGCGAAAGCGUUAAGUAUUCCACCUGGGGAGUACGCCCGCAAGGGUGAAACUCAAAGGAAUUGACGGGGGCCCGCACAAGCGGAGGAGCAUGUGGUUUAAUUCGAUGAUACGCGAGGAACCUUACCCGGGCUUGAAAGUUAGUGAAUGAGAUAGAGAUAUUUCAGUGAGCAAUCACACGAAACUAGGUGCUGCAUGGCUGUCGUCAGCUCGUGCCGUGAGGUGUUGGGUUAAGUCCCGCAACGAGCGCAACCCCUAUGUUUAGUUGCCAGCACGUUAAGGUGGGGACUCUAAACAGACUGCCUGUGCAAACAGAGAGGAAGGAGGGGACGACGUCAAGUCAUCAUGGCCCUUACGUCCGGGGCUACACACGUGCUACAAUGGAUGGUACAGAGGGCAGCAAGCUGGCAACAGCAAGCAAAUCUCAAAAAGCCAUUCACAGUUCGGAUAGAGGUCUGCAACUCGACCUCUUGAAGUUGGAUUCGCUAGUAAUCGCGUAUCAGCAAUGACGCGGUGAAUACGUUCCCGGGCCUUGUACACACCGCCCGUCAAGCCAUGGAAGUUGGGGGUACCUAAAGUAUGUAACCGCAA
rnacentral:rRNA from 1 species